rnacentral:rRNA from 1 species
GACGGGGGAUGCAAGCGUUAUCCGGAAUCACUGGGCGUAAAGCGCAUGUAGGCGGCCGAACAAGUCAGGUGUGAAAUCCUCGGGCUUAACCUGGGAAGUGCACUUGAUACUGUCCGGCUAGAGUUUGGCAGAGGAAAGUAGAAUUCCCGGUGUAGCGGUGAAAUGCGUAGAUAUCGGGAGGAAUACCAGUGGCGAAGGCGGCUUUCUGGGCCAAUACUGACGCUAAGACGCGAAAGCAUGGGUAGCGAACGGG